rnacentral:rRNA from 1 species
UAAAGAGUUCUAUAACUCCCAAACCCAUGUGAACAUACCUAACGUUGCCUCGGCAGGUCGCACCUACCUUGUAGCACCCUACCCUGUAGGGCCUACCCGGGAGAUGCGGGUAAGCCUGCCGGCGGCCCACCAAACUCUGUUUGAUAUUGAAUUCUGAACAUAUAACUAAAUAAGUUAAAACUUUCAACAACGGAUCUCUUGGUUCUGGCAUCGAUGAAGAACGCAGCGAAAUGCGAUAAGUAAUGUGAAUUGCAGAAUUCAGUGAAUCAUCGAAUCUUUGAACGCAUAUUGCGCCCAUUAGUAUUCUAGUGGGCAGGACCGUUCGAGCGUCAUUUCGACCCUUAAGCCUUAGUUGCUUAGUGUUGGGAGCCUACGGCAACGUAGCUCCUCAAAGUUAGUGGCGGAGUUGGUUCACACUCUAGACGUAGUAAUUUUUUAUCUCGCCUAUUAGUUGGACUGAUCCCCUGCCGUAAAACCCCCAACUUAUCAAGGUUGACCUCGAAUCGGUUCAGACAAACUCGCUAAAUUGAAGCAUCUUAGUCAGCGAAGGAAAAGAAACCAACAGGGAUUGCCCUAGUAACGGCGAGUGAAGCG